CCAGCAGGGCCUGCCAUCUGUCAUGCUGGGUCAGGUGGCACUGAGGCUAGCGUGACUCAUCCCAGGCCAGCAGGGGCCAUGCUGACCAUUGCAGGCCCAGGCCCUGACUAGCAGUGCAGGUCCUCCCAGCGUGUGGUUUCUGACGUCAGAGUCACGGUCUCAUGACAGCACUCAGACUUGCGUGGUGUUUCCUGCUCUUGGCGGCUGUAGGUGAGCGGUGCAGAGGGCAGUUGGGACAUCACGUUUUUUCACCUUCCCAGUCUGUUUCUCAGGAGCACAGCAAAGAGAAAGGCAAACACAGAAGGCUGGUUUGUGCCCAAGUCGUUCACGACAGAUCCCCGUGUCUCUGCACCCACCCUUCCCAGAUGGCAUUGUUCUGUUGGACCCAGUUGCACAGGAAAUGGUGCUUCUUACUUAACAAAAGUGGAAAAUUAAGAACCCCAUCUUGAAACUAUGUUGAAACUCAUUUUUGAAACAGGGCCAUCUUUACAGAUCUUUUGAAUGACAAGUGGCAGAUCUGGUGUACCCUGGGCAAGGCUCGUGCCUCACCCUGGACGGACAGGGCCCCGGUGGACCAGAGCGGAGGUCUAGCUCUGGAGCCUGAGUCUUCCUCUCUCUUCCCCACUCUGUGCCAAUCCUAUGACCUUCGCACCGAGUGACCUUCACACGGUCCAGCCAAGUGUGAGAACAGACGCCCGCAGCUGGCUUUGGCUGAGCACGCAGCCGCCCAGCCGUGACUCAGCAGCAGUGGUGCCUGCUUGCUACCUCAAAGAUGUCGGUGCUGCGUGAGGCUGAAGUUUGAUUACACAGUCUGGAUAGAGAGAUAGGGUCAUGUGAUCCUCAGGCUUCCACCAUCAUGCUGAUAAUUGUGUUCAACUUUCUAGAUGUAGAAACAAAGCUUUUUCCCACUAUUUAAGAUUCACUUCCUGCCUGGCUUUCCCUCCAAUGCCCUCUCUCCUUUACUUACAUACUAUUGAGCCAGUUCCUUGAGAAACACAAGGCAGGAGACACAGGGCAGUGUCCUGGGAGGUGGACGAUGCGCCAUUCCCUGGUGCAUGCUGGGAAUAUUUCUUACAUCAGUCUGGCCAGGGUUUUCAUCAAAGUUGGAACAGGCAUCAAAAUCCACUGUGAAGGGGCCUUGAGCCUCGCCAUGCUGGAAAGGCAGCCGGGCAGAGAGGUGUCCCCUGCCCUGGCCCCAAGGGUCCUGUGGUCACCAAGGAACUUGGCUAUGGUGUUCUGUGGGCCUCUCCUCAGAGCUCCACAUCCCAGAGUGGGCAGGGCACAGUGUGUGAGGCUUCCUGCAGCCCCACUCCCGGCCCUCAUAUCGUCUCCAAAGGGCUGGGAGUUUCCCGGUGACCAGCAAUGAAGUCCCCCGAUCAAUCACACAAAACUGUAGCAGACAUCUAAAUAGAAGCCAUGAUACCCUGUUGACAUUCAAGUGGCAAGAGAGGAACACGCUGAUACCUUAAGGGGUGCACCUGCGUGGAUCCAACCAGAGCUGCAUUCAUGACAGCAGGGCCAGGCCUGCAGCAAAGCCCUUCUGCGGGAGCCAUGAGUGGUGUACACGCCGUCAAGAGCCUGGGUUCUCGCAGGUGCCUCUCCCAGAGCCUCACACUGCCAGCUCCCUUAUCGCAUGUUUGGAUGGAGAAGAGAGGGACAUCAGGGGUCGAUGGUGCUCGCUGUCUGGGGACAUUGAAAGGAGGAGGCAGAGAGGAUCAGAACUCCUGCCAUGGGCUCCCAGGUAGCUGAGGGAGUGACGGCCGG